CGUGGAUCGAUUUGUCUGGUUUAUUCCGAUAACGAGCGAGACUCUAGCCUACUAAAUAGUAACAGGAUUAUCUUCACGAUUGUCCUUUUGUUGCUUCUUAGAGGGAUUUUCGGUGUUUAGCCGCACGAGAUUGAGCAAUAACAGGUCUGUGAUGCCCUUAGAUGUCCGGGGCUGCACGCGCGCUACACUGGCGAAAUCAGCGUGCUGUAUCCAUUCUCGAAAGGGAUUGGUAAACCCAUGAAAAUUUGCCGUGCUUGGGAUCGGAAAUUGCAAUUAUUUUCCGUGAACGAGGAAUUCCAAGUAAGUGCGAGUCAUCAACUCGCUCUGAAUACGUCCCUGCCCUUUGUAC
rnacentral:rRNA from 1 species